CGCCUUUUGAAAUAUAAAUAUAAAAGGUCCUGCCUGCCCAAUGACUUAUUUAAUGGCCGCGGUAUUAUGACCGUGCAAAGGUAGCGUAAUCAUUUGUCUUUUAAAUAAAGACCAGUAUGAAUGGCAAAACGAAAGCCUCACUGUCUCUCUAGCCAAGUCAAUGAAAUUGAUCUCUCCGUGCAGAAGCGGAGAUAAAAGUAUAAGACGAGAAGACCCUGUGGAGCUUUAAACUCUAAUUAACAACUACAAAUGCUCUAAUAUUAAGUUUUUGGUUGGGGCGACCAUGAGGUAUAAAAUAACCCUCACGACACUAAUUAAGAAGGACACUUCAAAUAACUAAUAUAGUAUAUUGACCCAAUAAUUGAUCACGAACUAAGUUACCCCAGGGAUAACAGCGCAAUCUGCUCAAAAAGUCCCUAUCGACGAGCAGGUUUACGACCUCGAUGUUGGAUCAGGACCCCCAAACAGCGCAACAGCUAUUAAAGGUUCGUUUGUUCAACGAUUAAAGUCCU
rnacentral:rRNA from 1 species